UAUACAUAUAUAUUUAUUAAGAAACCCAUUUUCCUGAAAAGAUCAGGGGCUUUUUAAAGCUUUGGCAAAUACAAAUUAUGACAAACUGUUCCAGGUUUUAUACAAAAUGAUACCACAAUUUAACAAAUAAAACUCCAAGCAGCUGCACUGACUGAUCAA